rnacentral:rRNA from 1 species
AACGAACGCUGGCGGCAGGCUUAACACAUGCAAGUCGAGCGCCCCGCAAGGGGAGCGGCAGACGGGUGAGUAACGCGUGGGAAUCUACCCAUCUCUACGGAAUAACGCAUGGAAACGUGUGCUAAUACCGUAUACGUCCUUCGGGAGAAAGAUUUAUCGGAGAUGGAUGAGCCCGCGUUGGAUUAGCUAGUUGGUGGGGUAAAGGCCUACCAAGGCGACGAUCCAUAGCUGGUCUGAGAGGAUGAUCAGCCACACUGGGACUGAGACACGGCCCAGACUCCGACGGGAGGCAGCAGUGGGGAAUAUUGGACAAUGGGCUCAAGCCUGAUCCAGCCAUGCCGCGUGAGUGAUGAAGGCCCUAGGGUUGUAAAGCUCUUUCACCGGUGAAGAUAAUGACGGUAACCGGAGAAGAAGCCCCGGCUAACUUCGUGCCAGCAGCCGCAGUAAAAC